GGUUUCAGCAGGGCAACAUGGAAUGCCCGGUCAUUGUGCCCAAGGCAGCGAGGGCUCUCCCUUGGACUCCUGGGUGUCAUAGAGGGAUUUCUGACUGCCCUGUGCUGUCACAAAGACGGUUCUGGCUGCCCCGUGAUGUGGAAGAGUGGCUAGCUAACAAAGGUCAUGUUCCCAUGCAGCAAUUAGCUGAGAAAGAAUUAAAGAACAGUAGAGUGUAGUUGGUAUGAGAUGUUGCAAGGUCAGAAAGACCUUAGUGAUAACUGUGAACUGAGAACAGGACACCGCGAUCAGAAGAAUGUGGAUUCAGCACAGAUGAAUAACCACAAGAAUGUGGAACUAGGUGGAGUUGACCUUAAAUGAAAUACCCAAUAAUGAGCUUGCUUUUGCACUAUGUAUGAGCCUAAUUAUUGAUGUUAUAUAGGGAGUUUGGAGUUGCCAAUAAAUGAGACUUGCUGAUCAUUCAUAUUGAGUGCUGCUUGUCUCCCACCAAACUCAUCACCGUGAUGUCACCCAGGGGACUCUGCCAGACUGCCAGGCUGUAAAAGGGGUGCCCCAGGAGCAGACAGUGCCGGGCACAGCAAUCUGGCAGUGUCUCUUGGCAGACAGCAGCCUCAGCCUCCCACCAUGGUGGGGCUGGAUUUCCAUCACUGGGGCCCCACAUGUCUCUGGGGAGCCUCUUCCCCGGCCUGUGCUGGUGACCUGGAGUGCUACAGACAGUGCCAUGGGCAUCCUCAGCAUGUUCACCGUGGGAGAGCUGCUGGCAAUGACGAUGGUGGUGCUGCAGCUCAUCCUGGUCACUGUCACGCUACGGGACAAGCGUCUGUGGAGGAUCCGUCAGAACUCAAAGCACCCAAGUGCAGCGAGAGGCCGGCUGCAGGGGCAGAGCGAUGUGGACAGGGCACGGAGAUCAGCAGACAUGGAGCUAGCUCCCCAGGCAGUUCCAUCAGCUCCAGGAGCCGUUUCCCAAGGUUCAUCCGGAGCUGCCGGGACUCCCGGGCGCUCUUUGAGGAGCAGCGCGAGGAGCUGGAGGCACAGCUAGCCCAGCGGUGAUGGGGCAGGGGGAGCGGCAGCGUGGUCCAUGCUGGUCUGUAUGUUAUGCCAAGGCUGCUGGGGGUCAGAGAGUGUUGCCUUGGAGUGGAGUUGGCAAUGCCAGACACGUAUAAGGUGACAGAAGAGGACAAAACUAAGAACAUAAGAUGAUGCAGCAGCAACAACUCCAUGAUGCUGGAACGCAAAAGAUCUGUGGCGAUAGCCGGGUUGCUCCCUAGACUGACAGUGAUCUUGAAUCCCAGUGUAUUGGAAAGCAGGAGCAGCAUUUCAAUGGAGCUGGAAUACAGCAGCAGCACUCCUGCUGGAAGGUUCCUGGCAGCUUCAUGCCUGCCUUCAGAGAUACCUGGAAGCCUGGCAGACACGCCGUGUUCAGUGCCACCAGUGCUUCGGCAUCUGCUUUAAGUCCCAAUGGUGGUGGCGAUGCUGGACCCAGGUGAGAAAAAGGGUGUAGUAAGAAUGAGGGGUAGGGGAGUAGGGAACUGCCUGGGACAGCAGAUCCCUCGGCCUCUACAGAUCCCUCUGUAGAGUCUUCAUGUCCUCUGGAAGAUCCUGUUCUCUACAAAUUGGCUGAGGGUCCCCUCCUCCAGGUCACUGAUAGAAACAGGACUGAUCUCGGUGCUGCCCAGGGAAGCCCCACUGGUGACUGAAUACCAGUCUGAACCAGGGACUGAAUUAAACUGUCCCCUACCACUCUCUGGGUCUACCCAUCCAGACCCUUUUUUACAGUGAGCUGUGGACAUGUCCAAGCCGUGGGCAGCC
ensembl:lncRNA